rnacentral:rRNA from 1 species
GACGAACGCUGGCGGCGUGCUUAACACAUGCAAGUCGAACGGAAAGGCCCUGCUUUUGUGGGGUGCUCGAGUGGCGAACGGGUGAGUAACACGUGAGUAACCUGCCCUUGACUUUGGGAUAACUUCAGGAAACUGGGGCUAAUACCGGAUAGGAGCUCCUGCUGCAUGGUGGGGGUUGGAAAGUUUCGGCGGUUGGGGAUGGACUCGCGGCUUAUCCGCUUGUUGGUGGGGUAGUGGCUGACCAAGGCUUUGACGGGUAGCCGGCCUGAGAGGGUGACCGGCCACAUUGGGACUGAGAGACGGCCCAGACUCCUACGGGAGGCAGCAGUGGGGAAUAUUGCACAAUGGGCGGAAGCCAGAUGCAGCAACGCCGCGUGCGGGAUGACGGCCUUCGGGUUGUAAACCGCUUUCGCCUGUGAUGAAGAGUGAGUGACGGUAAUGGGUAAAGAAGCACCGGCUAACUACGUG